GAGAAUUACCGAAAUGUCCAUCUAAUUCCUGAUGUAUUUUCUCUUGAACUUCGGGAUUAUUACCAAGAUUGAAUAUCGCCCAGUUUAUUGCAGCGGCCGUGGUAUCGUGGCCCUUUUUAAGGAAAAUAUUAACAGAUUUCAAAGUAAAUUAAUCCUUGUCAAACCAUCGAGGUUCAAUUACAUUACAUUUAAUCGGAGGUUUUGGAAUUGGAACUAUUGAAGAUAAAGUAACCUGCAAAUUUUCUGGCAUUGGAAGAAGCUACAUGAUAAGAAUUAACUCCGGCAGGAACACUAAAAUUUCCAUCGAUAAAGGAUUUUUUUUUACG